GACGAACGCUGGCGGCGUGCCUAAUACAUGCAAGUUGAGCGCUGAAGGUUGGUACUUGUACCAACUGGAAGAGCAGCGAACGGGUGAGUAACGCGUGGGGAAUCUGCCUUUGAGCGGGGGACAACAUUUGGAAACGAAUGCUAAUACCGCAUAAAAACUUUAAACACAAGUUUUAAGUUUGAAAGAUGCAAUUGCAUCACUCAAAGAUGAUCCCGCGUUGUAUUAGCUAGUUGGUGAGGUAAAGGCUCACCAAGGCGAUGAUACAUAGCCGACCUGAGAGGGUGAUCGGCCACAUUGGGACUGAGACACGGCCCAAACUCCUACGGGAGGCAGCAGUAGGGAAUCUUCGGCAAUGGACGAAAGUCUGACCGAGCAACGCCGCGUGAGUGAAGAAGGUUUUCGGAUCGUAAAACUCUGUUGGUAGAGAAGAACGUUGGUGAGAGUGGAAAGCUCAUCAAGUGACGGUAACUACCCAGAAAGGGACGGCUAACUACGUG
rnacentral:rRNA from 1 species